CCAGAGAGCUCUGAGCUUUGCUCUGAGGCGGAGCCAGGUCGCCUCCCCCUCCCCCUCACCGGUCACCACUCAGCACUCACCUUCGCCCAUGGCGACCAUCUCUGCAGCCCUCGCCAUCUCCUUCCUCCCGUCCCCGACUCGCUUACCCGUCCCCACUACGGCCUCCCCGUCCUCGCGCAUAAAGAGAACGGCGCGCUUCAGGUGCUGUGCGGAGCCUUCUUCCCAGGAGCAGGAUACCGCGGCCGCUCCUCCUACCCUGCCGCCCGCAAAAGAGUCCACUUCGUCUCUGCUGGGCAUUUCCACGAGCACCUGGUCUGCGGGUGUCGCUGGGCUGGGGUUCCUGGAGACUGGGUACCUCACGUACCUCAAGCUCACGGGAUCCGAGGCGUUCUGCCCCAUCAGCGGCGGAGGCUGCGGCGACGUCCUCGACAGCGACUACUCCGCCGUCUUUGGGAUACCCCUUCCCUUAGUUGGUCUGGUGGCAUAUGGUUUGGUUACAGCACUUUCUCUGCAAGAAAAUGGAACGGACUUGCUCCCUGGAUUGUAUGACCUGGAUAUUCAGUUAACAUUGCUUCUGAUUGCUACUUCUAUGGCGACUGCAAGUGCUUAUUUUCUUUAUAUUCUAAGCACUAAAUUCGUCGGGGUAUCCUGUUCUUACUGCUUGUUGUCAGCAGUUCUCUCGUUCACUCUACUUUUCAUCAGAGUAAAGGACUUCGGUUUUGAGCGUAUCCAGAAGUUCGCUGGUAUUCAGUUAGCUGUAGUUGUCAUUAUAGCUCUAGCUUUGACAAACUCAUACGGUUCAGCUACUACUCAGUUGAAGGGCACAGAUGAUUUUGUAUUAGAACCAUAUGAAACAGAGAUAACAACCGAAUCAUCCCCAUUCGCUAUAUCAUUGGCUAGACAUUUGCACUCUAUAGGUGCUAAGAUGUAUGGAGCAUUCUGGUGUUCUCAUUGCAAUGAACAAAAACAGAUGUUUGGUCGUGAAGCUACAAAAAUUCUUGUCAUAUCGGUGCCGUGGGAUCGCGCUUUCACUUGCUUUGAUUUCUUUUCACCGAAUUUUCGCCGGGUGGGACUAACAUACUCUGAAUCUUAUCUUGGCAGGUUGCUGAUUGAUUCCCUAAGCUCGAGUUCGUACUUCAAGCUACCUAAAGAGAAUUUCCGGUUGAAUUUCCAUUGUUGCCAUCCUGCAGCGCAUCUCAGCGGAGGCGGAGCAUUUCGUUUGCUAUAGUCUGAUGUGCGAGGAUGGAUUCAACGAGAGAUGAUUUAUUAUUUAUUCACUAAUGGGAAGAACAUAUUACAUUUCUCUGAUGAAUCUGCGAAGCCUUUCGAUCAGUCUAGAGUUGAUGUCAUCCACUAACCUGUAAAGACCUGCACAAUGUAUCUUGUGCAUCCUGUUUUGCAGACUAGCAAAACUGAUGCCUUCAUGUGAGACAGGUCCGAGGAACAGGUUAGCAAGAGUUGUUUUCUUCUAAUCCGAAGAGAGAAUUAAAAAAAGUAAUCAUUUCCGGAGUGGGCAAGGAUGAAAUCUGCUGAAACUGCAAAUUUCGGUCGAAAUAUGACACUCACAAAAUGUUGCAUCCUACUACAAAAUCCAAAUCGCUAUUGAUACAUGAAUCAGGAGAGGGCUCAACUCAGUCAGUCCAAG